rnacentral:tRNA from 1 species
UCCGCCAUAGCUCAGUUGGUAGAGCAGCUGAUUUGUAAUCAGCAGGUCGGGAGUUCAAAUGGCGUGGAGCAA